GGGGUUGUAACUCAGCGCUAGAGUGUCUGCUUCGAGUGCUGAAAGUCCUAGUUUCAAAUCCUUGCACCUCCA
rnacentral:tRNA from 1 species